AUUGAACGCUGGCGGCAGGCUUAACACAUGCAAGUCGAACGAGUGGCGGACGGGUGAGUAAUGCUUGGGAAUCUAGCUUAUGGAGGGGGAUAACUACGGGAAACCUUAGCUACUACCGCGUACCAUCAGUUGUGCCCAGAUGGGAUGAGCUAGGAGGUGGGGUAAUGGCUCACCUAGGCGACGCUCCCUAGCUGGUCUGAGAGGAUGACCAGCCACACUGGAACUGAGACACGGUCCAGACUCCUACGGGAGGCAGCAGUGGGGAAUAUUGCGCAAUGGGGGCAACCCUGACGCAGCCAAGCCGCGUGUAUGAAGAAGGCCUUCGGGUUGUAAAGUACUUUCAGUCGGGAGGCGUUACCGACAGAAGAAGCACCGGCUAACUCCGUGCCAGCAGCCGCGGUAAUUC
rnacentral:rRNA from 1 species